AGAGUUUGAUCAUGGCUCAGAAUCAACGCUGGCGGCGUGCCUAACACAUGCAAGUCGAACGCGGUUACUACUGCUUCGCAAGAAGUGGUAGUGACUGAGUGGCGAACGGGUGAGUAACACGUGGGUGACCUGCCUUCGAGUGGGGGAUAACGUUCCGAAAGGGACGCUAAUACCGCAUGACAUCCUGCCUUUGAAGAGGUGGCGAUUAAAGCUGGGGAUCGUAAGACCUGGCGCUUGAAGAGGGGCCCGCGUCCGAUUAGCUAGUUGGUGGGGUAAUGGCCUACCAAGGCUUCGAUCGGUAGCCGGCCUGAGAGGGCGGACGGCCACACUGGGACUGAGACACGGCCCAGACUCCUACGGGAGGCAGCAGUGGGGAAUUGUUCGCAAUGGGCGCAAGCCUGACGACGCAACGCCGCGUGGAGGAUGAAGAUUUUCGGAUCGUAAACUCCUUUCGAUCGGGACGAAUGGCUGGUGGUCUAAUACGCCAUCAGAUUGACGGUACCGAGAGAAGAAGCCCCGGCUAACUCCGUGCCAGCAGCCGCGGUAAUACGGGGGGGGCAAGCGUUGUUCGGAAUUACUGGGCGUAAAGGGCGCGUAGGCGGCCUGCUAAGUCACACGUGAAAUCCCUCGGCUCAACCGGGGAACUGCGUGUGAUACUGGCGGGCUUGAAUUCGGGAGAGGGAUGUGGAAUUCCAGGUGUAGCGGUGAAAUGCGUAGAUAUCUGGAGGAACACCGGUGGCGAAGGCGGCAUCCUGACCGAGAUUGACGCUGAGGCGCGAAAGCUAGGGUAGCAAACGGGAUUAGAUACCCCGGUAGUCCUAGCCCUAAACGAUGAGUGCUUGGUGUGGCGGGUAUCGAUCCCUGCCGUGCCGAAGCUAACGCAUUAAGCACUCCGCCUGGGGAGUACGGGUCGCAAGGCUGAAACUCAAAUGAAUUGACGG
rnacentral:rRNA from 1 species